rnacentral:rRNA from 1 species
UACGUAGGCAGCGAGCGUUGUUCGGAAUUACUGGGCGUAAAGAGUGUGUAGGCGGUGCUCUACGUUCGGUGUGAAAUCUCCUGGCUCAACUGGGAGGGUGCGCCGGAAACUGGAGUGCUUGAGCGUGGGAGAGGAAAGCGGAAUUCCUGGUGUAGCGGUGAAAUGCGUAGAUAUCAGGAGGAACACCUGUGGUGUAGAUGGCUUUCUGGACCAUAGCUGACGCUGAGACACGAAAGCGUGGGUAGCAAACAGG